GGAGCGUGUGGUUUAAUUCGAUGCAACGCGAAGAACCUUACCUGGGCUUGAACUGCAGGCAUAUCUACCUGAAAGGGAUAGACAUCCUCCUUUGGAGGAACCUGCAGAGGUGCUGCAUGGCUGUCGUCAGCUCGUGUCGUGAGAUGUUGGGUUAAGUCCCGCAACGAGCGCAACCCUUACUAUUAGUUGUCAGCGAGUCAAGUCGGAUACUCUAAUGGGACUGCCGGUGACGAGCCGGAGGAAGGUGGGGAUGACGUCAAGUCAGCAUGGCCUUUAUAUCUUGGGCA
rnacentral:rRNA from 1 species